GGUGAACGCUGGCGGUAGGCCUAACACAUGCAAGUCGAACGGCAACACAGUAAGAUCUUGCUCUUACGGGUGGCGAGUGACGGACGGGUGAGGAAUACAUCGGAAUCUACUUUUUCGUGGGGAACAACGUGGGGAAACUUACGCUAAUACCUCAUACGACCUACGGGUUAAAGCAGGGGAUCUUCGGACCUUGCGCGAUUGAAUGAGCCGAUGUCGGAUUAGCUAGUUGGCGGGGUAAAGGCCCACCAAGGCGACGAUCCGUAGCUGGUCUGAGAGGAUGAUCAGCCACACUGGAACUGAGACACGGUCCAGACUCCUACGGGAGGCAGCAGUGGGGAAUAUUGGACAAUGGGCGCAAGCCUGACCCAGCCAUACCGCGUGGGUGAAGAAGGCCUUCGGGUUGUAAAGCCCUUUUGUUGGGAAAGAAAAGCAGCAGGUUAAUACCCCGCUGUUCUGACGGUACCCAAAGAAUAAGCACCGGCUAACUUCGUG
rnacentral:rRNA from 1 species